rnacentral:rRNA from 1 species
UACGUAGGUGGCAAGCGUUGUUCGGAAUUACUGGGCGUAAAGCGCGCGUAGGCGGACCUGCAAGUCGGGGGUGAAAGCCCGAGGCUCAACCUCGGAACUGCCUUCGAUACUGCGGGUCUCGAGUCCGGGAGAGGUGAGUGGAAUUCCUAGUGUAGAGGUGAAAUUCGUAGAUAUUCGGAAGAACACCAGUGGCGAAGGCGACUUACUGGACGAUUGUUGACGCUGAGGUGCGAAAGCGUGGGGAGCAAACAGG